CAUGGGCCUUCUCAGCUUCCUGUCUGCAGCCAAAGAACGUGCCGAGAGGUUCCUCAACGAAAAGAAUGUCGUCACUGACUUCCUGGGGAAGGUCGAGGAGAAGACGGGAGUCAAGAAGAAGAUCCUUGCGGCCGGUGUGGUUUCAGUGACGGGCUUAUAUUUGGUCUACGGUUACGGCGCUGCCCUCCUCUGCAACUUGAUCGGUUUCGUCUACCCGGCGUACUACUCAGUCAAAGCCAUCGAGAGUCCGAGCAAAGAAGACGACACAAAAUGGCUGACCUACUGGGUGGUCUACGGAGUCUUCAGUCUGGGCGAGUUCUUCUCUGACAUUUUCCUCUACUGGUUCCCCUUCUACUACGCCUUUAAGUGUUUGUUCCUGUUGUGGUGCAUGGCCCCCGUGGCCUGGAACGGAUCCCAGGUCCUCUACGACCGUGUAGUCCGACCCAUUUUCCUCCGUCACGAAGCCGCCGUGGACAACAUGGUCAGCGACAUCAGUGGGAAGGCCAUGAGCGCAGCAGAGAACCUCACCAGGGAAGGUAUCAUGCGGGUCCACUCCCACCUAAAGCGUAAACCUGUCAGUCCAUUCAGGUCUAGACCGACCGGGUCAUUCCAGACCAGCCCAAACCAUUUCAACUUCAAGCUAGUACAGAUGAAUUCUGGCUCCGUAGAUCAGCCAAGGAAAAUUCACAAAAGCCCAUGAAACUUGAUGCCAGUAAAGACCACGGUGUCCCGGCAGUGCGCUUUUACAUCAUUUGGGGUAAGUCUGGAUCGGCACAGAGCAGUCAAAGUGAGAGUGCGCAGGUCUCGAUCUGUAAAGACCAGUCGAGGCAAAUGCGCCGGAUGAAUAAAGUUGCCUUGUAUCAUAUUGUCUAAUUUCCAUGUGUUGUUUCCGCUGCAACUCACUUGCCAUCUUUGCGGGACAACUUUUCAGGACAGCGACUUCAUUUAGCCUUCUCACUCACAGAUUACACUGGAUUCAUAUUCCCUGUUUUUUUGAAGGAUUCUAGAGAAACUCCUCCAUCUUGAGGAUCUGUAGUCAAGGUGAUCGGUUUAGGUAGGCAAUCAGUUUUUUGCCAGCCAGGAGCACCCUCAGCCUUUUCUUGACAAUCAUUUGGAAAAUGUUUGUAUGGUUAGGGUUGCUACAGCCCAGGUCCAUUUUGUCCGAAACAAACCGGCACGCAUCAUCUCCACAUCAGACGGUCCUGUCCGUGCGUGCGCCAGUCGGGACCUGCACAGACUGCGUUGUUGCCAUCUGGUUCUCAAUUAAGCGAUGCUCACACAUCUAGACCUGCGUGGACUGCUGCUUUGCUCUGUACACUUCAGACCCGACUGGGCAAAUCCAUUACAGGCGUGUCUAGACCAGUUUAGGGCAGUCCAGAUCAGUCCACAUUGGCUCCACGACCUGCUGUGCUCUGUUCACAGUUUUGUCCACCCUGGUGAAAAACAAAGCCUUGGUGUCGCCCGAAGUGAAAAGUCAGCCUCCGGCGAAAGUUCUGUGAGAAAAAACCACACGUCUCCUCUGAGUGAAGACCAAGAGCUCGUUUCCUGAGCGCCAAGAGGAGGCGGGGCCUGGUCCGGAGGAGAAGGAGCGCCACGCUGGACUUUUUUUUCUUUCUGCUGUUGUCUUUCUUGCUCCUAGCAAAUCAAUCAAUCUUGAAAAUGUUCCUUAUCCCUGAAGUCAGUCAAAUGCACUUUGUUUGUAUUCAUAGAAGCUGAUGAAAUGGUGACCCAUUUUUUUCUUGACCCAGUUGUAGUUGUUUGAUUUUGGAGCAUUUUACCCCCAAAAAAAGGCCUCCAAACCAAGUUUUACCCACUUGGUUGAAUUCAUUGAACAAGGAAGCUCAUUGUGUACUGUAAAACUAGGUGGCCAUAUUACGUAGUUUAGUUAUUUAUUAUCUAUUUGUAUUAUUUAUUUCCUUUUCAAUCAUACAUAUUUUAUAUGAAGUAUUUAUUAGUAGUGUAGUGUAUUUUUAUUUAGGUCUCAUGCAAUGUAUAUUUCAUUUCUAAGCUUAGAGGUGACUAGGUCACGCGUGCAUGGGAUUUUAUGGGGCCUGGGCCAGGAAGGCAGACUUCCUGGCACCGGGAUACAGGAAUGGGCCAUUUGGUUAGAAUCAACAAGGCAGGCUGGGGGGUCAGAGAACAUCCAGCAGCCCUCGUGUGCGUGCGCCCGAGUAAGGGGGGUCGCGGGGUAUAUGACCCAAGGCAAGAGAAGACUUCUUUUUUUGGCUAGAGAGAGACACUUCAAUUCUGACAUCGGUUGAAUAAAAUCUUUCCCCAAUCA